GCUUCUGAAGAAUCAUUUGAAGUACUUAGUGGCGGACGGGUGAGUAACGCGUGGGUAACCUGCCUCACACAGGGGGAUAACAGUUGGAAACGACUGUUAAUACCGCAUAAGCGCACAGUAUCGCAUGAUACAGUGUGAAAAACUCCGGUGGUGUGAGAUGGACCCGCGUCUGAUUAGCUAGUUGGCGAGGUAACGGCCCACCAAGGCGACGAUCAGUAGCCGGCCUGAGAGGGUAAACGGCCACAUUGGGACUGAGACACGGCCCAAACUCCUACGGGAGGCAGCAGUGGGGAAUAUUGCACAAUGGGGGAAACCCUGAUGCAGCGACGCCGCGUGAGUUAUGAAGUAUUUCGGUACGUAAAACUCUAUCAGCAGGGAAGAAAAUGACGGUACCUGACUAAGAAGCACCGGCUAAAUACGUGCCAGCAGCCCCGGUAAUACGUAUGGUGCAAGCGUUAUCCGGAUUUACUGGGUGUAAAGGGUGCGUAGGUGGCAUGGCAAGUCAGAUGUGAAAUGCCGGGGCUCAACCCCGGAACUGCAUUUGAAACUGUCAAGCUAGAGUACAGGAGAGGAAAGCGGAAUUCCUAGUGUAGCGGUGAAAUGCGUAGAUAUUAGGAGGAACACCAGUGGCGAAGGCGGCUUUCUGGACUGACACUGACACUGAGGCACGA
rnacentral:rRNA from 1 species